GUGGGGGUCCUGGAGGUGGAAUGUGGUGGGGGUGCGGGGGAAGCCCACUGGUCCCUUCUGUCUGGUCAGGAUGCCAAGAAGGAUGAUGCUGUUCGGAAGGCAUACAAGUAUUUAGCUGCCUUGCAUGAGAACUGCAGCCAGCUCAUCCAGACCAUUGAGGAUACAGGCACAAUCAUGCGGGAAGUUCGAGACCUUGAGGAGCAGAUCGAGACGGAGAUGGGGAAGAAGACCCUCAGUAACCUGGAGAAGAUCCGCGAGGACUACCGAGCCCUCCGCCAGGAGAACGCUGGCCUCCUGGGCCGGGUCCGGGAGGCCUGAGGAGUGCCCAGCACCGCUCUGCUCCUGGCCUCGGGCAGGGGGUUGGGAUGUUGGGGGCGAUGGCCAAGCACGUGCCCUAGCCCUUCCCUCUGCUGGCCGCACGGCUCCUCCUGCUACAGCCUUGACCCCAGACACCCACCCACCGGACCCCAACCCUGAUCUGGGGUGAUCGUCCAGAGCGUGGGAACUCGGCUACAGUUUAUUGGAGAGGGCACUGGGUCCCAAAUAAACAAGGGGCUGUGUCUGCA
rnacentral:lncRNA from 1 species